CGUGGAGCAUGUGGUUUAAUUCGAUGCAACGCGAAGAACCUUACCAGGUCUUGACAUCCACGAAUCCUUCUGAAGGAAGGAGUGCCUUCGGGAGCGUUGAGACAGGUGGUGCAUGGUUGUCGUCAGCUCGUGUCGUGAGAUGUUGGGUUAAGUCCCGCAACGAGCGCAACCCUUGCUAUUAGUUGCUAACAGGUUAAGCUGAGCACUCUAAUGGGACUGCCGGUGACAAGCCGGAGGAAGGUGGGGAUGACGUCAAAUCAUCAUGCCCUUUAUGACCUGGGCUACACACGUGCUACAAUGGAUGGUACAGAGAGCAGCGAGGCAGCGAUGUGGAGCGAAUCUCAAAAAGCCAUUCUCAGUUCGGAUUGGAGUCUGCAACUCGACUCCAUGAAGUCGGAAUCGCUAGUAAUCGCGGAUCAGCAUGUCGCGGUGAAUGCGUUCCCGGGCCUU
rnacentral:rRNA from 1 species